rnacentral:rRNA from 1 species
GAUGAACGCUGGCGGCGUGCUUAACACAUGCAAGUCGAACGAAGCACUUUAUUUGAUUUCCUUCGGGACUGAUUAUUUUGUGACUGAGUGGCGGACGGGUGAGUAACGCGUGGGUAACCUGCCUUGUACAGGGGGAUAACCGUUGGAAACAGCUGCUAAUACCGCAUAAGCGCACGGCAUCGCAUGAUGCAGUGUGAAAAACUCCGGUGGUAUAAGAUGGACCCGCGUUGGAUUAGCUAGUUGGUGAGGUAACGGCCCACCAAGGCGACGAUCCAUAGCCGACCUGAGAGGGUGACCGGCCACAUUGGGACUGAGACACGGCCCAAACUCCUACGGGAGGCAGCAGUGGGGAAUAUUGCACAAUGGGCGAAAGCCUGAUGCAGCGACGCCGCGUGAGCGAAGAAGUAUUUCGGUAUGUAAAGCUCUAUCAGCAGGGAAGAUAAUGACGGUACCUGACGAAGAAGCACCGGCUAAAUACGUG